rnacentral:misc_RNA from 1 species
GAUGAAGAACGUAGCGAAAUGCGAUAAGUAAUGCGAAUUGCAGAAUUUCCGUGAGUCAUCGAAUCUUUGAACGCACAUUGCGCCCUGUGGUAUUCCGCAGGGCAUGCCUGUUCGAGCGUCAUUUCAACCCUCAAGCCUCGCUUGGUGUUGGGCCCUGCCCGCCGCGGCCGGCCCUAAAGAUAGUGGCGGCGCCGCCUGGCCCUCAGCGUAGUACAGCUCUCGCUCCAGGGUCCGGCGGCAGCCUGCCAGAACCCCCCAACUCUGUGGUUGACCUCGGAUCAGGUAGGGAUACCCGCUGAACUUAAGCAUAUCAAUAAGCGGAGGA